rnacentral:rRNA from 1 species
CGGAGAAUUUUAUUUCGGUAGAAUUCUUAGUGGCGAACGGGUGAGUAACGCGUAGGCAACCUGCCCUUUAGACGGGGACAACAUUCCGAAAGGAGUGCUAAUACCGGAUGUGAUCAUCGUGCCGCAUGGCAGGAUGAAGAAAGAUGGCCUCUACAAGUAAGCUAUCGCUAAAGGAUGGGCCUGCGUCUGAUUAGCUAGUUGGUAGUGUAACGGACUACCAAGGCGAUGAUCAGUACCCGGUCUGAGAGGAUGAACGGCCACAUUGGGACUGAGACACGGCCCAAACUCCUACGGGANGGCAGCAGUGGGGAAUCUUCCGCAAUGGACGAAAGUCUGACGGAGCAACGCCCGCGUGAGUGAUGAAGGAUUUCGGUCUGUAAAGCUCUGUUGUUUAU